CAGCAGCCGCGGUAAUACGAAGGGUGCAAGCGUUACUCGGAAUUACUGGGCGUAAAGCGUGCGUAGGUGGUGGUUUAAGUCCGUUGUGAAAGCCCUGGGCUCAACCUGGGAAUUGCAGUGGAUACUGGAUCACUAGAGUGUGGUAGAGGAUAGUGGAAUUUCCGGUGUAGCAGUGAAAUGCGUAGAGAUCGGAAGGAACAUCUGUGGCGAAGGCGACUAUCUGGGCCAACACUGACACUGAGGCACGAAAGCGUGGGGAGCAAACAGGAUUAGAUACCCCCGUAGUCCCUGUCCUUAUACA
rnacentral:rRNA from 1 species